GGGGAUAUAACUCAGUUGGUAGAGUGACUGCCUUGCAUGCACAAGGCCCUGGGUUCAAUCCUCAGCACCACCA
rnacentral:tRNA from 1 species